UGCAGUCGACGAUGAACCUCCUUCGGGAGGGGAUUAGUGGCGAACGGGUGAGUAACACGUGGGCAAUCUGCCCUGCACUCUGGGACAAGCCCUGGAAACGGGGUCUAAUACCGGAUACGACCACUGAGGGCAUCCUCGGUGGUGGAAAGCUCCGGCGGUGCAGGAUGAGCCCGCGGCCUAUCAGCUUGUUGGUGGGGUGAUGGCCUACCAAGGCGACGACGGGUAGCCGGCCUGAGAGGGCGACCGGCCACACUGGGACUGAGACACGGCCCAGACUCCUACGGGAGGCAGCAGUGGGGAAUAUUGCACAAUGGGCGAAAGCCUGAUGCAGCGACGCCGCGUGAGGGAUGACGGCCUUCGGGUUGUAAACCUCUUUCAGCAGGGAAGAAGCGAAAGUGACGGUACCUGCAGAAGAAGCGCCGGCUAACUACGUGCCAGCAGCCGCGGUAAUACGUAGGGCGCGAGCGUUGUCCGGAAUUAUUGGGCGUAAAGAGCUCGUAGGCGGCUUGUCGCGUCGGUUGUGAAAGCCCGGGGCUUAACCCCGGGUCUGCAGUCGAUACGGGCAGGCUAGAGUUCGGUAGGGGAGAUCGGAAUUCCUGGUGUAGCGGUGAAAUGCGCAGAUAUCAGGAGGAACACCGGUGGCGAAGGCGGAUCUCUGGGCCGAUACUGACGCUGAGGAGCGAAAGCGUGGGGAGCGAACAGGAUUAGAUACCCUGGUAGUCCACGCCGUAAACGUUGGGCACUAGGUGUGGGCGACAUUCCACGUCGUCCGUGCCGCAGC
rnacentral:rRNA from 1 species